UCGGCCGGGUGCAUCGAGGGCAGGCGCGGGGCGUUCCUGUCGUCCCAUUCGCGGGCGUCCAGGGCGUUCCAGGCCGGG
rnacentral:tRNA from 3 species